rnacentral:rRNA from 1 species
AUUGAACGCUGGCGGCAGGCCUAACACAUGCAAGUCGAGCGAGUGGCGGACGGGUGAGUAAUGUAUGGGGAUCUGCCUGAUGGAGGGGGAUAACUACUGGAAACGGUGGCUAAUACCGCAUACCAUCGGAUGAACCCAUAUGGGAUUAGCUAGUAGGUGGGGUAAAGGCUCACCAAGGCGACGAUCUCUAGCUGGUCUGAGAGGAUGACCAGCCACACUGGGACUGAGACACGGCCCAGACUCCUACGGGAGGCAGCAGUGGGGAAUAUUGCGCAAUGGGCGCAAGCCUGAUGCAGCCAUGCCGCGUGUAUGAAGAAGGCCUUAGGGUUGUAAAGUACUUUCAGCGGGGAGGCGUUACCCGCAGAAGAAGCACCGGCUAACUCCGUGCCAGCAGCCGCGGUAAUUC